rnacentral:rRNA from 1 species
GAUGAACGCUGGCGGCGUGCUUAACACAUGCAAGUCGAACGGGAAAUAUUUCAUUGAGACUUCGGUGGAUUUGAUUUAUUUCUAGUGGCGGACGGGUGAGUAACGCGUGGGUAACCUGCCUUAUACAGGGGGAUAACAGUCAGAAAUGGCUGCUAAUACCGCAUAAGCGCACAGAGCUGCAUGGCUCAGUGUGAAAAACUCCGGUGGUAUAAGAUGGACCCGCGUUGGAUUAGCUAGUUGGUGGGGUAACGGCCCACCAAGGCGACGAUCCAUAGCCGGACUGAGAGGGUGAACGGCCACAUUGGGACUGAGACACGGCACAGACUCCUACGGGAGGCAGCAGUGGGGAAUAUUGCACAAUGGGGGAAACCCUGAUGCAGCGACGCCGCGUGAAGGAAGAAGUAUCUCGGUAUGUAAACUUCUAUCAGCAGGGAAGAUAGUGACGGUACCUGACGAAGAAGCCCCGGCUAACUACGUG